rnacentral:lncRNA from 1 species
GUCACUACCAAAAACCAUUUUUUCACUGAAAAUAUUUUUUCACAUCUUUAUGUGAAACCAAACAGCCCCUUAGCUUCUAUAGUAACUGUUAGAAAAUUUUGCAUACGGUAAAAUCGCACGAAAAAAGAAAUCAAACAAAUUUGAUUUUUAAAAACUCUUGAGCUAGACCUGAUCUCAAGAAUCACGCAAUUAGGAUACCUCAUAUUCUUUAAGAUUAAAGGAAAAAAGCAAGAUCCAAUCCUUACCUUUGCGCGAAUAGAUCUUUACCUCAAUUUGAUGAUCGUGAAAUUAGGUUCUCUUGAACCCGCCUACGCGUUCGGCUUUUAUAGGUAUCCACACAAAAUUGGUGAUUUGAUCGAUGUCCUCACCGGAGUGCAAACUCGCUUGCAAAGGACGUCUUCGUACUAGAAGAUGGAAGAAGAUGGAAGAGAGAAGAGAAGAAAGAUGAUGGUUAGGGUUUUCUAAAAACUCCCGUAUCUUAUAUAGAGGAAUAUAAUCCUCUUUUUAAUAAUAUAAUAACCAUUAAAGAUAAGUACAAAUCUAGAUUUAAAUUUAUCAUUUUCUUAAUUGGUUAGAUCGAUUAAAUCCUAAUUUGAUUCAACUUGAACUUUAUCUUAAUUUGAUCAUAUCAAAUUAAUAAUGCAAUAUUUACACAUAAGUCCUCUAAUAAUUUACUAACUAUUAGUAAGUCCUCUCUUGUAACAUUUAUACUUUAAUAAAACUAAUUUGUAAUAAUUACAAAUUAGUCCAAUUAUCAACAUAUUGACAAUUAGGUCCUCCGGCAAUUUAAAAAUCACGAUUUAGCUAUCCGAUCAAUCACAACCUCUUAUGUAUGUGGCCAUAUAGCUUCUAUUUUAUCUGGUAGUGAGAUGUAUUUUGGUCACUAUCAACAAUAUCACUGAAACUCAUUUUAGUGGAUCGGAACAAUUCCAACUCAGCCCAAUGAGAAUUAUCGUCCAUCUAAAUAAUUCUCAUGAGUCUCACAAUCCACCAGUGACAUCUAGCAGUAUGUGGUGGCAUUCUAGUAGAAUGGAAUACUGAACCUCUUGGUGUAGUUACCGUGUAAUACGGUCCUUCUAUCAUGAGUCUCGACUAGACGGAGGUCAUGGAAUAAAUCGUCAAACCCCAUCAUCUGUCAUAUGUUAAAUUUAUUCGAUUCGAGUUUCUAAUAUUGAAAACUCUUUUCCGGUAUUAACUCUGCCUUGACUAAGGUCUUCUAAACUUGGUCUCAGAAAUCAUAUAGGACUAACACCCCUAUCUACCAAGGGAGAUAGAUUCCAUAUAAGUGCACACCCUAUUCCUUGAAUGAAUCUAUUGCAGCCAGCAUGCACUGCAAGGACCCGAAUGGCUAGGGACCAAGUGUAGUAUGUACAGUCAAACUACAGUAACCUCAUUGUGAAUGGUCGAGGCACCGUAGGUCAAAGGACCAGUCACACUACUGCAACAUUGAGUAAGUCACUAACAAGUAAGUAGACAUCCAAGUGACUUAUCGCGUUGUAUCACGCUCGGUACCCUUGUUCUCUAACAAUCGAUCAACUACAUAUUCGCUUCAGUGUCUCCACACUGUCGACUCGAGACUCGUCUACCCAAUAAGGGAAGCGACCUAUGCACCAAUCUUACCGGAUCAAUCACCGUACCCGUGAUGAUCCAUCGAUCGGGAGCAUUUAGGAAUUAACCACUAAUGACACAUGUCUCAAAUUCUCAACUCUUGAGAACGUAUGCCAUCAUCUUAUUAAUUUAUUGGACGAUUCAUGGACACAUACAUAAUAUGAAUGGGAAUAAGAACCCAAAUUUAUUCAUAAUAUUUUAAAGUCAAAUACAAAUUUAUAUUCUAUAAAGAUUACAUGUGUCGGCCUGGUUGGCUUCUAGGGCAUACAUUUAACAGUAACCCCUCAGCCCGUGACUUUGAUCUAGUCGCCAAUUCAUUAUAAUAUAUCCAAACAACU